rnacentral:rRNA from 1 species
UACGAAGGGGGGCUAGCGUUGUUCGGAAUUACCGGGCGUAAAGCGCACGUAGGCGGACAUUUAAGUCAGGGGUGAAAUCCCGGAGCUCAACUCCGGAACUGCCUUUGAUACUGGGUGUCUUGAGUGUGGAAGAGGUGAGUGGAAUUCCGAGUGUAGAGGUGAAAUUCGUAGAUAUUCGGAGGAACACCAGUGGCGAAGGCGGCUCACUGGUCCAUUACUGACGCUGAGGUGCGAAAGCGUGGGGAGCAAACAGG